rnacentral:rRNA from 1 species
UGGGGAAUUUUGCACAAUGGGCGCAAGCCUGAUGCAGCGACGCCGCGUGAGGGAUGACGGCUUUCGGGUUGUAAACCUCUUUUAUCCACCACGAAGGCCAGGUAUUCGCCUGGUUGACGGUAGUGGUUGAAUAAGCGCCGGCUAACUACGUGCCAGCAGCCGCGGUAAGACGUAGGGCGCGAGCGUUGUCCGGAUUUAUUGGGCGUAAAGGGCUCGUAGGCGGUUGAUUGCGUCCGCCGUGAAAGGCCUCGGCUUAACCGGGGUUUUGCGGUGGAUACGGGUCGACUUGAGGCAAUUAGGGGAGAUCGGAAUUCUACGUGUAGCGGUGAAAUGCGCAGAUAUGUGGAGGAACACCGGUGGCGAAGGCGGAUCUCUGGGAUUGUUCUGACGCUGAGGAGCGAAAGCGUGGGGAGCGAACA